rnacentral:rRNA from 1 species
GAUGAACGCUGGCGGCGUGCCUAAUACAUGCAAGUCGAGCGAACAGACGAGGAGCUUGCUCCUCUGACGUUAGCGGCGGACGGGUGAGUAACACGUGGAUAACCUACCUAUAAGACUGGGAUAACUUCGGGAAACCGGAGCUAAUACCGGAUAAUAUAUUUAACCGCAUGGUUCAAUAGUGAAAGACGGUUUUGCUGUCCCUUAUAGAUAGAUCCGCGCCGCAUUAGCUAGUUGGUAAGGUAACGGCUUACCAAGGCAACGAUGCGUAGCCGACCUGAGAGGGUGUUCGGCCACACUGGAACUGAGACACGGUCCAGACUCCUACGGGAGGCAGCAGUAGGGAAUCUUCCGCAAUGGGCGAAAGCCUGACGGAGCAACGCCGCGUGGGUGAUGAAGGUCUUCGGAUCGUAAAACUCUGUUAUUAGGGAAGAACAAAUGUGUAAGUAACUAUGCACGUCUUGACGGUACCUAAUCAGAAAGCCACGGCUAACUACGUG